UUCCUCCCUAAACAUUAACUUUUAUGAUUUCAAAACAUAAUUUCCUUCGAAAAAUGGCAUCUGUAUUCAUCUGAAGAGUUUCCUGACGUGUAUUCUUGUUUCUCAUGGCUAAAAUGAUGAACAAGUGGACACUUUCUUCUGCACAAUCUAAUAUUUCCAAGGGAAAAAUUAAUGAACUAAGUUUCUAGCAUAUUUUCUUUUAAGCGAAUAAGGAUUUUAUCGUCUGUGUAUGCUUGUAAAACCUGUCACAAAAAGCAUACGUUUCUAAAACCUGUCACAAAAAAGCACUGUAUUGAUUAAGGAUUUGAGCUGCCAAAACCUUUGAGAUUUUAUCAAGUUACGCUUGUACGUAUGCUUUAUACUGCUACUGGACACCUAUUUCCUUUCAAAUUUAUUUUUUGGGGAAGUAUUUCAUUUCAAAGUUGUCUAAGACCUUGUUCCUUGACAAUCUGCAGGACUUCAGGAAGACGCCCAUCUGGUAUUAGAAUUCUCUUGCAUAUAUAUGAAGUCUAUUUAUGAUAUAGUUUCUCUUCUCUUCUUCACUCUACUGGGUUGGAGGACCCUUUUGGUCUAAUUCAGCAAUUUGAUUGAGAAUAUUAUAUCAGCUAUCAAUAUAUAGUUUCAUUAAUAAUUUAAUAUCCAGGA
rnacentral:lncRNA from 1 species